UCCUGGAGAGACAGUAUUGCCUAAUGGUUGAAACCAUGGGCACUGGGGGCAAAAAGACCUAAGGUCAAGUGCGAAGUCUACUACUUUCAACAGAGGGUUAUCUAUUUCCUUCUGCCACAAGGGUAGAGCCCUCGUGAAUGGCUUAGUGCUCAUAAAGAGAUCUCUCAUAAUUCUCCAUGACUUAGGGCCAGCUCUUCGCUUGGAUGCCACAGUCUGAAUCUUUGUGUCCCCCAGAAUUCAAAUGUUGAAAUAGUAACCCCCAAAAGGAAUGGUUUUAGUAAGUGGGACCUUUGGGAAAGGAUUCGGUCGUGAAGGUGGAGGCUUUGUGAAGGCGGGAUUGGCACCCUCAUAAAGGAGAUCCCACGUCUCUCUGUCCCUAGCCCGUUCUGUCAUAUGAGGAUAUGGUGAGAGGUCUGCAACCAGAAGAGGGCCCUCAUCCAACCAAGCAGGCAUCCUGAUCUUGGACUUCCAGCCUUCAGAUCUGUGAGCAAUGAAUUUCAACUGUUUAUGAGCUUCCUGGCCUAUGGAAUUUUUUUUUUUAACAGCAGGGCAAAGGACUAAGGUGAGCUUUGAGCACAUUUCUGAGCCUCUCAAAGCUCUGAUUUCCUCAUCUAUGAAAACCUACCUCACCAGCAUUUGGUCUAAAGUUAUAAAUGGAAAGAUGUUCUAUGAACAGGAGCUCAUAGGAUCUGCACACGCUCUGGCCGUUUCUCUACUGGAAUCUCAUUUUGCAAACAAGACGGACUGGAGAAAAUGGAAGCAUUUGAGACCUGAGAUGACUGGGCUGAAUUUCUUAAUGGCGUGAUUUUUUUCUUUUCUUUUUUUUUUUUGGAAGUGAUUUGUGUCUGAAGAAUAGGCUGUCCAGGGCAAGCUAAGUGGAUGGCUUUCCUGGAGAGAGGGGGAGACAGGACUUGCUCGUGCCUGACCGCUGCUUAUGGGGGGGAGGGGGCACAGCCCUUGCAAGAAUCUGCUUGGAGACCCAUCCCAUACAGCCAUCAUAGGUGCGUCAUGAGGCUCAUGUGACAUAAGGGCCGCGGAGGUGUUCCAAAAGGUUGCAAGUGCUACAGGGUGAUUCACAGUCCCCAUUUCUCUCCGGUCUGUCUUCCCCCGCGCCUGCCCUAACCUGGGCCUUCACCGUCCGGCCCUGUGACUGCGCUCUGGUCUCCAGUCUGCACGCCGUCCACGCCUCAGUCCCAGCUGUGCCCUGACAUCCUUCCAAAACCCACCCCAGCUAAGUGCAUCCCGCUACGACACCUCCCGCCAGGGAAGCCAGUCAGGAGGAUGGGCUGCCUUCCCGAAAUCACAAAACAGCAAAAGGGAGAUUAUGCAGCUGGGCCUCAUUUAGACGCGCGCCUUGGGGCAGAGCGUUUUCUCCAGCCGCUGGCAGAAGAGAAGGAGGCCACAGGCAGAGAGGAGGCAGAACCUCGGCCCACAGCCACAGGAACCGCAUGCAGCCAGCAACCUGACGGAGCUUGGACGCUGAUUUGUCCCCAGAGCCUCCGGAGGAGAUCCCUGCCUGGCCCAAACCGUGAGUUGGGCCUUGCAAGACCCUGAACAGAAACCCCAGUUGACCCUACUUGAAUCCCCGACCCACGGCGCUGUAUAAAUGGGUAUCAUUUCAAUCUGCUAAAUGUUUAGUAAUUCGGUAUGCAAGGUCUUGGGUGAGGCUGCUUUAACAAAAUACCACAGCAUGGGUGGCUUAAACAACAGGAAUUUAUUUCCCAUGGUUUUGGAAGGUGGGGAGUCCAAGAUCAGGGUGCCAGCAUGGUCACGUCCUGGUGAUGACCCCCCCUCCUGGUUUGCAGAUGGCCACCUUCUUGCUGUGACCUCACGUGGUGGAGAGAGAGAUCGUCUCUCUGGCAUCUCUUUUUAUGGGGCGCUGGUCCCAUUCGUGAGGGCUCCCAAAGGCCUCAUCACCAAAUGCCAUCACACGCGGGACUGGGUUUCAACCUAUGAGCUGUGGAUACACAGAUACAAACAUUCAGUCUGUUACGUGCAGCAAUAGAAAAUUAAUACAUUUGCUCUGUCAAGGCCUUAAGGGUUCUUCUCCAAUCUCCAUGUCACACAUGAGCUCUGAGUGAUUGUGGGGUUUGAAUCUGGACCCAAUCAACUUGCUGCCGAGUUACGUGGCAUUCAGUUCCUCCUCCAUUUCCUCGUCUGUGUACUUAGGAUAAUUACAGAACUUCCUCAUGAGGUUUUUGGGAAGAUUAAGUGAGUUAACCCAGCAGAGUACUUAUUACAAUAUCCAACAAAAAGGAAAUGCUGCAUACGUUAUUUUUUUCCUUUGUACUGUGAUUACAUUCUUUGCAGACAUUCCCUUUAAGUCAAAUGGGUUUAUUUAUUAACCUGGGGAAAAUACACUUUUCUUGGCUUUCACCAUAUCUCCUUCUCUUACUCUACCCCUCAAUACCCAUCCUUCCAGGUCUUUCUCUGAUUCCUCCCUCCUCCAUGAAGCCUACCCUGACCGUUCCAGCUCAUGGUAGUCCGUCCUCUAUACUAACUUCUAGAGUACCAGAGGCUAGUGCAAAUCCUUAGACUGUCUCUUACCUAAUCACUUUAAAUGAUUUUUUUUUACUAUAAUAGAAAAAUGUCUGUCUGUUGGAGAUAAGAGGGGAAAUCUACAAAAGUUCAAGGCAAGAAGUAAGUCACCUGCUGCCAUGGUUAAUAAUAUUUCCUUCCCGUCUUCCUGUUUUUGUUGAUUGUGUAUAUUUAAACACAUAUGUAUACAGUUACCUUUGUGAGAAUAAAUCUCCGCCCCAGCCCACCCAGGGCAUCCAUCUGCCGGGGGAGAGAUUAGGAUUUGUUCACAGAAGGAAUUCAGAGAGGAAAAAUACAAUAUGGCAUUCAACUUUAAUCAUGCAAAAUAGGAUCAUGCUGGAAACCAGGGCAUUUAAGAGCUGUUUUAGCCAAGGUUCCUGCAUUAGUCUCAUAUGGCUGAUAUAACAAAUUACCACACAUUUAGUGGCUUAAAACAACACAGAUUUAUUCUCCGACAGUUCCAGAUGUCAGAAGUGUGAAAUGAGUCUUAUGGGGCACAAAGUGUUGUUAGGGUCCCUUCUGGAGACUCCAGGGGAGGCCGAUCCUUUCCUCUACUAGCUUCUAGACUAGCCCGCGUUCCUUGGCUCAUGGCUACAUCUCUCUAAUCUCUGCUUCCAACCUGACAUCACCUUCUCCUGACUUUGACCCUCCUGCCUCCCUCUCUUAGGGAUCCCUGUGAUCACAUUGGGCUCACCUGGAUAAUCCAGGAUAAUGUCCCCAUCUUAACACAUUUAACUUAAGCGUAUUUGCAAACCCAUUUUACUAUGAAAGGUAACACAGUCAUAGGUUCCGGGGAUUAGAACAUAGACCUCUUUUGGGGCCACUAUUCUGUUUACCACUUUACCCUAGAGAAUGGAGCCUGCAGCAGGGAUUAGGUGCUGCCAGUCUUAUUGUGCUGUAUAAACCUAGGGCAGUAAGAGUGAGGAAAAAGGGGAGGAAAGGAGCAGAUUGCAAAGCAAUGCAAGGCGGUGAUUACUGAGCCGACCGUGUCUCAGGAUGAGCUGAGAAAAGCAGGUUGUCAACAAGAGAAUUGUUCAGCCAUGUGGAAGUCUCCAGGCACGUUAUAUGGAGAAACUGUCUCUGGGAGCAUUCCGUUCAGAAGAGGGAUGAGGCAGAAUGUAUCUGCCAGUUUCCUUCCCUUCUCUUAUUUCCCAUCGAUCAAAGUCUGCCCCAUGUGGCGUUAAUCUCAGCACAUUUCUGAGUGGCAUCAUUUGGGUCCCUUUGAGAAUUAUUUGGAAAGCCAGAUCCUAUACCCUUUGCUGUGAUGCUGUAUCUGAGUCUGGAAGUGAUGGGAGGAACCAGAGACACUGGUUAUGCGUUUUAUCACUCUCAGGAGGAACUUACAGAGAGGCAUGAUGACCAAGAGAGAGCAAUCAGCUUGGGGCCCAAGUUGCAGGUGAAGCCAGCAGAAUCUGAUAAAGCAGGUGAAGUCAGGAGGGUCUGAGGAAGUACCGAAGGCGUAUCCAGCACAUUCCAGCCCUGAAAUCCCCUCAGGUCCGUCAUCCAUUCCCGUUACAUACUCUUCCAUAAUAUAUGAGGCGUGGAGUUGUUUUCUGAGAACCAGAUGCCCUCAUUCCUCCCUGAGAGGGCAGGUAAAAAUGUAGCCACAGAAUGCCUUCAUGGUCAAGCCUAAAUUUCCAGUAAAACCAGAAAGCGAGAUUAAGAGAACAAGUGACAUUCUCCACUGUGCUUGUCCCAAGGCCAUAGUGACA